rnacentral:rRNA from 1 species
AAAUUGAAGAGUUUGAUCAUGGCUCAGAUUGAACGCUGGCGGCAGGCUUAACACAUGCAAGUCGAACGGUAGCAGGAAGAAGCUUGUUUCUUUGCUGACGAGUGGCGGACGGGUGAGUAAUGCUUGGGGAUCUGGCUUAUGGAGGGGGAUAACGAUGGGAAACUGUCGCUAAUACCGCGUAAUGUCUAAGGACUAGAGGGUGGGACUUUCGGGCCACCUGCCAUAAGAUGAGC